GGCUGGAGUCGCACAAAGUGGGAAAUGCCUCCCCCGGCAUGAUUCCCAGGCUCUUCUUUCCACUCUUUCCCCUCACCCCAUUGCCUUUCCCUCUGCACUGGUGUCCCCAAAUGCCCUGGCAGCCCUGCCCAGAGCAGAAGACAGCCAUGGGCCGGGGGGGCUGAGGACACCUGUGUGCACCUCGGCCCCACCAGGGCCAAUCCUCACCAACAUUUUGCUCUCCCUCUCCAGGCUCCCGUGGAUGACUUUGCUUUUGCUCUAUGUGUCCUUGUAAGUCCUGGAACUGGGGGCACCAGUGUGGGAACUGGGGGGUGCUUUGUAAGCCCCCAACCUUUCCCAGGACUGGAGACACUGCAGUGAUUUGUGACAUCUCGUGCUCUCUCCACAGCCAAUUCCUGGCUUUCUUAGGAAACAGCAAUCAGCACUAGGUCCAUGCAGUUGGGUAAGUCUUGGAACUGAGGCAAGGAAUUGAGUGUGGAAACCAGUUCGGUCCCCCCUGUGCCUUGCUGGACUGGGGACACCCCAGUGAAUAGUGGCAUCUGCCCAUCUCUCUACAGAAAAAGAAGGGUGUCCAACGAGUAAAGAGGUCUAAGUCCCCUGUGGCUGAGCAGGUGAAGCUUCUGCAGGAGUGAUGCCCGGCUGCCCCUCUG